rnacentral:rRNA from 1 species
UGGGGAAUAUUGCACAAUGGGCGCAAGCCUGAUGCAGCAACGCCGCGUGAACGAUGAAGGUCUUCGGAUCGUAAAGUUCUGUUGCAGGGGAAGAUAAUGACGGUACCCUGUGAGGAAGCCCCGGCUAACUACGUGCCAGCAGCCGCGGUAAUACGUAGGGGGCUAGCGUUAUCCGGAUUUACUGGGCGUAAAGGGUGCGUAGGUGGUCUUUCAAGUCGGUGGUUAAAGGCUACGGCUCAACCGUAGUUAGCCUCCGAAACUGGAAGACUUGAGUGCAGGAGAGGAAAGUGGAAUUCCCAGUGUAGCGGUGAAAUGCGUAGAUAUUGGGAGGAACACCAGUAGCGAAGGCGGCUUUCUGGACUGUAACUGACACUGAGGCACGAAAGCGUGGGUAGCAAACAGG